rnacentral:misc_RNA from 1 species
UAAUGGCGGUGGCAAUGACUUCGACACCCGGCAAAACGGAAUCGAAGGGAGUCGGGAAAACAUCGCCUCCGCCGGUGACGGUUGCACCGAUCACCACAAUCCGGUCUCGUCUUGCUGUCGAUCUGUCCGCUCAGCACAGCCGCAGCGCUGAACGUCGGGAUUGUCCCCCGAGGACCAUAGAAGCUCAGCGGGAGAACGUGGCUGAUGUCUGUCGG